AACGAACGCUGGCGGCAGGCUUAACACAUGCAAGUCGAACGAGAUCUUCGGAUCUAGUGGCAGACGGGUGAGGAACACGUGGGAACAUCCCUUUCAGUUCGGAAUAACGUUGGGAAACUAACGCUAAUACCGGAUACGUCCAUCGGGAGAAAGAUUUAUCGCUGAAAGAUUGGCCCGCGUCUGAUUAGCUAGUUGGUGGGGUAAAGGCUCACCAAGGCGACGAUCCGUAACUGGUCUGAGAGGAUGAUCAGUCACACUGGAACUGAGACACGGUCCAGACUCCUACGGGAGGCAGCAGUGGGGAAUAUUGGACAAUGGGCGAAAGCCUGAUCCAGCCAUGCCGCGUGUGUGAAGAAGGUCUUCGGAUUGUAAAGCACUUUAAGUCGGGAGGAAGGGCUGUAGGUUAAUACCUUGCAGCCUUGACGUUACCGACAGAAUAAGCACCGGCUAACUUCGUGCCAGCAGCCGCCGUAA
rnacentral:rRNA from 1 species